rnacentral:rRNA from 1 species
CCUACGGGAGGCAGCAGUGGGGAAUAUUGGACAAUGGGCGCAAGCCUGAUCCAGCAAUGCCGCGUGAGUGAUGAAGGCCUUAGGGUCGUAAAGCUCUUUUACCAGGGAUGAUAAUGACAGUACCUGGAGAAUAAGCUCCGGCUAACUCCGUGCCAGCAGCCGCGGUAAUACGGAGGGAGCUAGCGUUGUUCGGAAUUACUGGGCGUAAAGCGUACGUAGGCGGUUAUUCAAGUCAGAGGUGAAAGCCCGGGGCUCAACCCCGGAACGGCCUUUGAAACUAGGUAGCUAGAAUCUUGGAGAGGUCAGUGGAAUUCCGAGUGUAGAGGUGAAAUUCGUAGAUAUUCGGAAGAACACCAGUGGCGAAGGCGACUGACUGGACAAGUAUUGACGCUGAGGUACGAAAGCGUGGGGAGCAAACAGGAUUAGAUACCCUGGUAGUCCACGCCGUAAACGAUGAUAACUAGCUGUUCGGGCACUUGGUGCUUGAGUGGCGCAGCUACGACAUUAAGUUAUUCCGUCCGUCGGGUAGGUACGGUCGCGAAGAAGUUAAAACCCGUAAAACGGAAAGUUAGUACGGCGUGAGACGUGCCGAACGGACGACGACGAGGGAGGUAGG